GAUGAACGCUAGCGGCAGGCCUAACACAUGCAAGUUGAGGGGCAGCAUGAAUAGUAGCAAUAUUAUUUGAUGGCGACCAGCGCACGGGUGCGUAACACGUAUGCAAUCUACCUUGUACUGGGGCAUAACUUCGAGAAAUCGUUGCUAAUUCCCCAUAAGACUAUAGAGUGGCAUCACUUAGUAGUUAAAACUACCGGUGGUACAAGAUGAGCAUGCGCCCAAUUAAGCUAGUUGGUGAGGUAAUAGCUCACCAAGGCUACGAUUGGUAGGGGUUCUGAGAGGAUGAU
rnacentral:rRNA from 1 species